AACUACGGCCAUAUAUACCAAAAAGCACUGGAUCCCGUCCGAUCUCCGAAGUUAAGCUGGUAAUGGCAUCGUCCUAUAGGAGCCAUUUUUGUUAGAGGGAUGCCCACAGCCUGGGGUGCCGCCUUGGAUC
rnacentral:rRNA from 1 species